AUAGUCUAGUAUGGUCAAGUUUUUAUAGAUUGUUCAGUUUUUUAGAACACUUUUUAGAACACUUAAUUCAGUGUUCUCAGAUGACUCUUGUUUUCUCUUCCAGAUUUUGUUACUCUGAAGAUGAUGUAGUGGGUUUUAUUUGUCCAGAUUCUUCAGCGGUUAGAAUAUCUCCACAGCUGCCGGAUUCUUCAUCUGGACAUUAAUCCAGACAACUUCAUGGUCACCAACCUCAACCUCAACCUCAAUUAAUGUCAUAGAUUUUGGUAGUGCUUAAAUUUUUAAUCCUCUCUGACUCCAACCAUACAGCAGAGAACUCGGGACUCUGGAGUACAUGACUCCAGAAUUGUUGAAAGGUGAUCUAGUAGGACCCCUCAGCUGGCAUUGAGUUCAUUCCUUUAUUAUACUCAGCCUUAGACUUCCUUUCUGAGACAAAUACCCAAAACUGACAGAGACCAAAAUCCAUGCCACAAAGUUUGAUUCAACUAAGCUCUACCCAAAGGUGUCCCAAAGUGCCUCCACAUUUUUUAAGAAGAUAUUAAAUAGCGAUCCAUGGUGUUGACCCACCAUUAAGGAUGCCUCAAUCAUUCAUGGCUUCAUGACUCUAUAUCUAAAGAAGCUGCGUCGACAGGCCUUGACUUUCACUACCACACAGCUCAAGGAAUUCCUGGAGGAGCAUCAGCGAAGAUGUGCAGAGAUGGCUACUAAACACAAGGUCCUCCUGAGAGUCUAUCAGAGUGGGUCUUCAUCCCCAGCCUCACUGACUAAGCCUAGCUCAACAAGUGAAGAAGAAAAAAAAUAUGGACUUUGAACAGGAUAUGGUAAUGAAUUUCUUCAGAGCUGGAAAAUCUCUGGAAAUUAUACCCAGAGGUUUCCUUGAUGACACCUAUAAUAACAGUAAUAUGAGAACAAAAUAGACUAUAUUUAAAAAAAUAAAUAAAUGUAAUUUAUGUCAAUGGUGUUGAUCAUAAUUGGUUGAUAGCUUGGUGAUGGACAUUAAAUAAGUUUUCAAUACUGGAUUCAGUUAACUUUGGAUCAGUAAUUGUACCCGAAUGUAUGUUUUUUUAAUGCAUUGUCAUUUAGUUUUUUUUAAGUACAAUAGUUUGCUACAUGUGAUGCAUUGAUUUGGACUUAAUUUUGAACUGAGAAUCAAUUUAAGAGAAUCAAUGAGGCCUGU